UUUCUAAUUUCAGUUUUAGGGGACAUUAUGUGGGGAAUAAUCGGCAAGCAGCCUUUUUGGCCUUGCUACAUUGUAACAGACAAUGAUGGGAGAUCAUACAAAAGGAAAAUGUGCUCCAACGAUGUUUAUAGAAUUUAGUUCUAUGUGCAGUGGAUACCUCUUUGAGAGGGCACCAAACCCGUAGCAUACUCCGUAUGAUAUGUUGAAGAAUUACAUCCAAACUAUGGCAAGCAUUUCACGUGCCAACCCCCCAAAGAGGAGGCGUGAGGAGGAAGAGGAUGCCCCUAGACCUCCCAAGAGAAGAUGUGUUGUAAAUGAACAUCCACAGGCCUCUCUCUGAAGAUCGGAGAGGAUUCAACA